rnacentral:lncRNA from 1 species
CGUAAAAUGCCACCUCGCCUUGGCGAGCUGAUAAAAUUGUCUCGCCAUCCCCAGGAAUCCGAAGUCGUAUCCCUGAGGGGAAUGAAUAGGUGGAUCCGAGCUUGUCCAGUUCGGCCUGGGACAUGGCAUUACCCUCCUUGGUAAGACUCGAGGUAUCCAUCUUUGGGGAGUUUGUUGGUGGAGACGACGGAGACUGGCUCGUUUCGUCGAUAUAAGACUUCGCCCCUAGAUGAUCGGAUAUCCAAGAAGGCAGGGAUUGCUCAGAUUCUUCGCCUCCGAGGUUGGUCUUGGAGAACAUAAACGGGACAGCCGACCUGUUUAUGGCGAGAUGCAAUUUAAAAACGGAGCAGCACUUCGACAGCAACGGAAAUGUGCGAAUGAACAGGUUAACCCCAUUUAUAUACACAUAGG